rnacentral:rRNA from 1 species
GACGAACGCUGGCGGCGUGCCUAAUACAUGCAAGUUGAGCGCUGAAGGUUGGUCCUUGUACCAACUGGAUGAGCAGCGAACGGGUGAGUAACGCGUGGGGAAUCUGCCUUUGAGCGGGGGACAACAUUUGGAAACGAAUGCUAAUACCGCAUAAAAACUUUAAACACAAGUUUUAAGUUUGAAAGAUGCAAUUGCAUCACUCAAAGAUGAUCCCGCGUUGUAUUAGCUAGUUGGUGAGGUAAAGGCUCACCAAGGCGAUGAUACAUAACCGACCUGGAAGGGGUGUCGGCCACAUUGGGAAUGAGACACGGCCCAAACUCCUACGGGAGGCAGCAGUAGGGAAUCUUCGGCAAUGGACGAAAGUCUGACCGAGCAACGCCGCGUGAGUGAAGAAGGGUUUCGGAUCGUAAAACUCUGUUGGUAGAGAAGAACGUUGGUGAGAGUGGAAAGCUCAUCAAGUGACGGUAACUACCCAGAAAGGGACGGCUAACUACGUG